rnacentral:lncRNA from 1 species
AUGGCAAUAGAGCUGUGAGGUCCAGUAGGACGUACAAUAAUGGAGAGUGGCACUACCUGACAGCCAUCAGAGAUGGUGUAACGCUGGGUCUCAGGGUGGAUAAUGUGGACGAGGGAAGUGAGGCACCGGAUCGUCCCACUGCCAACACUGCAGGAAAUCGCCUUAUUCUGGGGAAGACGAGUCUUAGGGGCUGCCUGGGGCUCCUUUAUACAAGAAGUGACCUCUGCAAAAUCACUGACCUGAGUGACUUCAGUCGAGUAGGGCAGGUGAAUGUGGGAUUUUGUGGUGCAGAGCGUCCCCCUCAGGCCUUUAGGGUGAAUAACCGCAAACACAAACGGAACAGACAAGCUGUGGAAGGCGUUCCUCAUCAUCAAAGGAAGAGCUGUCCGUCAUCAGCUGUUGUGCCUCACGCCUACAACCUCGGCAGCAACAGGAGUCAGAUGAGCUUCUCCAUCCUCCCAGAGGAGCUCAACUUCCGGUGAGACAUCUGCACCCAUACAGCAGU